rnacentral:tRNA from 1 species
GGUCCCGUAGCUCAACCGGAUAGAGCAAGUGACUUCUAAUCACUAGGCUGGGGGUUCGAGUCCUCCCGGGAUCG